rnacentral:rRNA from 1 species
GAGCGAGACCCACGCCCACAGUUGCCAGCGUACUCUCUGGAGUGACGGGUACAACUGUGGGACCGCCGCUGCUAAAGCGGAGGAAGGAAUGGGCAACGGUAGGUCAGUAUGCCCCGAAUAUCCCGGGCUACACGCGAGCUACAAUGGUUGGUACAAGUGGGUAUCUACCCCGAAAGGGGACGGGAAUCUCCUAAAACCAAUCUUAGUUCGGAUUGAGGGCUGCAACUCGCCCUCAUGAAGCUGGAAUCCGUAGUAAUCGCGUUUCAACAGAACGCGGUGAAUACGUCCCUGCUCCUU